rnacentral:rRNA from 1 species
AGGGUUUGAUUAUGGCUCAGGAUGAACGCUAGCUACAGGCUUAACACAUGCAAGUCGAGGGGCAGCAUUUUAGUUUGCUUGCAAACUGAAGAUGGCGACCGGCGCACGGGUGAGUAACACGUAUCCAACCUGCCGAUAACUCCGGAAUAGCCUUUCGAAAGAAAGAUUAAUACCGGAUAGUAUACGAAUAUCGCAUGAUAUUUUUAUUAAAGAAUUUCGGUUAUCGAUGGGGAUGCGUUCCAUUAGUUUGUUGGCGGGGUAACGGCCCACCAAGACUACGAUGGAUAGGGGUUCUGAGAGGAAGGUCCCCCACAUUGGAACUGAGACACGGUCCAA